rnacentral:rRNA from 1 species
UACAGAGGUCUCAAGCGUUGUUCGGAUUCAUUGGGCGUAAAGGGUGCGUAGGCGGCGCGGUAAGUCGGGUGUGAAAUCUCGGGGCUUAACUCCGAAACUGCAUUCGAUACUGCCGUGCUUGAGGACUGGAAAGGAGACUGGAAUUUACGGUGUAGCGGUGAAAUGCGUAGAUAUCGUAAGGAAGACCAGUGGCGAAGGCGGGUCUCUGGACAGUUCCUGACGCUGAGGCACGAAGGUCAGGGAAGCAAACGGG